UUUGCAGAACAAGAUGAAUUUUAAUACUUUGAGUUUGAAGAGUGACGUUUAAAGUUUCGUCGUUUCUGCACCGCGUCUGACCCUUAGCAAUCCAGCUCAAGGCAUGUAUGGAUAAAGGCAAGCACUCUAAGCCCACAAGUUUUGAGCCUGCCCACCCUCUGACAAGGAAGAUUGUUCACGUCCAACAAACUGUUCAUGGUGCAGAAAGUCACUUCCUAACACCAAGCUGUGAACCACCAUCAUCCUGUUCCAGAGAAUUCUACUGAUUUACUACUGAUUCUACUGGACUUAAAGGAAACAAGCCCAGAUAAUUCCAGGUCUGCCCUGGGGAGAGGCUGGCCGCAUCACUUCUGUUGAGUUUCCUCACAGAUAUAAUCCAAGUUCUAGAUAAAAGAUCAGCUGACAAGCUCAAGCAGACUGGAACCACGUAGCAAAACAAAGUGCAGAACACAUCCUCUUUUCUUUAUAAGGUAAUUGACAGAUCAGUACAUGUUGUGACUAAUCUACCUUGGACUUGAGUAAGUAUUGGGUUUCUAUUCCUUCAUUAAUAUCUCUAUGGUCUUUGAGAUGAUUGCACACAAAGUGUCUUUAAUAGGAAACGGGGGCCAGUGAUGUACGAUUUAUGUCAUGCUAACCUUCUAAUAUGAAAGAUUGAAUAUUUAGGAGAGGAAAAGUCACAUCACAGGACCCAGAGGUGGAUUUUAAUGGUUCAAGACAGGCCUACAAGGCAUGCUGCUGAACUUUGAG
rnacentral:lncRNA from 1 species